GAUGAACGCUAGCUACAGGCUUAACACAUGCAAGUCGAGGGGAAACGACAUCGAAAGCUUGCUUUUGAUGGGCGUCGACCGGCGCACGGGUGAGUAACGCGUAUCCAACCUGCCCAUCACUUGGGAAUAACCUUGCGAAAGUAAGACUAAUACCCAAUGACAUCCCACGAAGACAUCUGAAUGGGAUUAAAGAUUUAUCGGUGAUGGAUGGGGAUGCGUCUGAUUAGCUUGUUGGCGGGUAACGGCCCACCAAGGCAACGAUCAGUAGGGGUUCUGAGAGGAAGGUCCCCCACAUUGGAACUGAGACACGGUCCAAACUCCUACGGGAGGCGGCAGUGAGGAAUAUUGGUCAAUGGGCGAGAGCCUGAACCAGCCAAGUAGCGUGCAGGAUGGCGGCCCUAUGGGUGGUAAACUGCUUUUAUAAGGGAAUAAAGUGGGUCUCGUGAGACUUUUUGCAUGUACCUUAUGAAUAAGGACCGGCUAAUUCCGUG
rnacentral:rRNA from 1 species